rnacentral:rRNA from 1 species
AUGGAAGCUACAGACGAGGAGAGGCCACUGCUGAACCACCAUUGCCGGCCUCCACAGCCGCAGGACGAAUGUUCAAGGUACACGAGUGAUGGAACAGUUGAUUUCUACAGACAGCCUGCUCUCAAGCAGAGCACUGGUAACUGGAGAGCAUGUUUCUUCAUUCUAGGUGCCGAAUUCAGCGAAUGCUUGUGUUUCUCUGCCGUCGCCAAGAACUUGGUUACCUACCUCACGACGGUGCUCCAUGAGAGCAACGUCGACGCUGCGAGGAAUGUGUCCACCUGGGUCGGCAGCUGCUUCCUCACUCCGGUCAUCGGAGCCUUCUUGGCCGACUCUUACUGGGGAAGAUACUCCACAAUUGCAGUUUUCCUGUCGGUUUACAUCGUUGGGAUGCUCAUCAUGACAUCAUCGGCGGCGCUUCCGUUUCUCCUUCCUCGUUCCUCCGACGAGAGUGGUGGUGUCCAACCUGGUGCCGUCUACUUGGGGCUCUACCUUGUCGCCCUCGGCACAGGAGGAAUCAAGCCCUGUGCCGCGGCCUUGGGCGCCAAUCAGUUCGACGGCGCCGACCCAAAGGAGCGGGUGGCCAAGGGCUCCUUCUUCAACUGGUACUACUUCUCGACCAACAUUGGCUCGCUGCUGGCGGCGACGUUGCUCGUAUGGGUGCAGGACAACAUCGGGUGGACCGUCGGGUUCGCGAUCCCGACGGUCAUAGGAUUCGGCCUAGCCGUGUUCGUCGCCGGGGGGAGGAUUUACAGGUACAAGCCACUAGGAGGGGGAGGUAGCCCGCUGGCCAGGGUCUUCCAGGUGGUUGUGGCAGCCACGAGGAAUUGCCGUCUCGAGCUGCCCGAUGAUUCCUCGGCCCUGCACGAAAAUGAUAGAGGUGAGCAUACAAGUCAAUUUAGGUUCUUUGACAAGGCUGCGAUCGUGCUGCCGUCGUCGGAGAAGAAGGGCCCGUGGCGGCUCUGCACAGUGUCGCAGGUCGAGGAGCUGAAGAUGCUGCUGCGGAUGUCCCCCGUCUGGGCGUUGCUGCUCAUCUUCUUCGCAGUCACCGCGCAGAUGUCCUCGACGAUGAUCGAGCAGGGCAUGGCUAUGGACAAGCGCGUCGGCACCUUUGUUGUGCCGCCUGCGUCCCUGUCUACCUUCGACGUCAUCAGCGUCCUCGUCUGGGUUCCUAUUUAUGACUCUGUCCUUGUGCCGCUCGCGCGGCGUGUCACCGGCGAGGACAGGGGCUUCACGCAGCUCCAGCGCAUUGGUGUCGGCCUAGCACUCUCUGCGGCCGGCAUGGCGUACGCUGCGUUGAUUGAGACGAGGCGGCUGGCGGCACCGGCGACCUCGAUGAGCAUCAUGUGGCAGGCGCCGUGCUACUUCGUGCUGGGCGCGGCCGAGGUGUUCACCAGCAUCGGCAUGCUCGAGUUCUUCUACGACCAGUCCCCUGUGUCCAUGAAGAGCCUCGGCGCGGCGCUCGCGCUGCUCGCCAUCGCUGGCGGUAACUACCUCAACUCUGUCCUACUGGGCGCUGUCGCGUCGACCACCGGGUGGAUCGCGGACAAUCUCGACCAAGGCCACCUUGACUACUUCUUCUGGUUCAUGGCUGCUCUCAGCGCGCUCAACCUGUUGCAGUUCGUCUACUGCUCGACCAGAUACAAAAGCAUAGAUCAGCAUUAG